rnacentral:rRNA from 1 species
AUUGAACGCUGGCGGCAGGCCUAACACAUGCAAGUCGAGCGGAUGAAGGGAGCUUGCUCCUGGAUUCAGCGGCGGACGGGUGAGUAAUGCCUAGGAAUCUGCCUGGUAGUUGGGGAUAGCGUCCGGAAACGGGCGCUAAUACCGCAUACGUCCUGAGGGAGAAAGUGGGGGAUCUUCGGACCUCACGCUAUCAGAUGAGCCUAGGUCGGAUUAGCUAGUUGGUGGGGUAAAGGCCUACCAAGGCGACGAUCCGUAACUGGUCUGAGAGGAUGAUCAGUCACACUGGAACUGAGACACGGUCCAGACUCCUACGGGAGGCAGCAGUAGGGAAUAUUGGACAAUGGGCGAAAGCCUGAUCCAGCCAUGCCGCGUGUGUGAAGAAGGUCUUCGGAUUGUAAAGCACUUUAAGUUGGGAGGAAGGGCAGUAAGUUAAUACCUUGCUGUUUUGACGUUACCAACAGAAUAAGCACCGGCUAACUUCGUG